rnacentral:rRNA from 1 species
UACGUAGGUGACCAGCGUUGUCCGGAUUUACUGGGCGUAAAGAGCGCGCAGGCGGUCGUUCAAGUCGAGUGUGAAAGCCCCCGGCUCAACUGGGGAGGGUCAUUCGAUACUGAUCGACUUGAAGGCAGGAGAGGGAAGCGGAAUUCCCGGUGUAGUGGUGAAAUGCGUAGAUAUCGGGAGGAACACCAGUGGCGAAGGCGACUUCCUGGCCUGUUCUUGACGCUGAGGCGCGAAAGCUAGGGGAGCAAACGGG